rnacentral:rRNA from 1 species
CUUGGUCAUUUAGAGGAAGUAAAAGUCGUAACAAGGUUUCCGUAGGUGAACCUGCGGAAGGAUCAUUAUUGAAAACAAUAUAAAAAGGAGGCUGUUGCUGGUCCUCAAAAGGGACAUCUUGUGCACGCUUUCUUUGUCCUCUUAUACACCUGUGCACCUUUUGUAGGUUUGAGCAAUUGGGCCUACGUCUUUUUUCAUUCACACCUUAUUUUGAAUGUAUUUUGUGCUUGAAAUAAAGCAAAUCAUUAUACAACUUUCAACAACGGAUCUCUUGGCUCUCGCAUCGAUGAAGAACGCAGCGAAAUGCGAUAAGUAAUGUGAAUUGCAGAAUUCAGUGAAUCAUCGAAUCUUUGAACGCACCUUGCGCUCCUUGGAAUUCCGAGGAGCAUGCCUGUUUGAGUGUCAUUAAACCUUCAAACCUCAUGACAGUGAGGGUUUGGAUUGUGGAGUGUGCUAGAAAAACAAGGACUUUUCUUUCGUUAGGUCUUAUUUUCCAGCUCCUCUAAAAUGUAUUAGCAAAAAACCUUUGUAUUCAAACUGCUUUUUGAGCUUUUGGCUUGAUAAUCUAUUUGUCUACGCUGACUGCCAUUGAGCUGGUAUUAAGAUUUUUGCUUAUAAACCCCUAUAUCAACCUUUUUAUUUGGCCUCAAAUCAGGUAGGACUACCCGCUGAACUUAAGCAUAUCAAUAAGCGGAGGAAAAGAAACUAACAAGGAUUCCCCUAGUAACUGCGAGUGAAGCGGGAAAAGCUCAAAUUUGAAAUCUGGUGGUCUUUUGGCCAUCCGAGUUGUAAUCUAGAGAAGUGCUUUCCGUGCUGGACCAUGUACAAGUCUCUUGGAAUAGAGCGUCAUAGAGGGUGAGAAUCCCGUCUCUGACAUGGAUCACCAGUGCUUUUGUGAUGCGCUCUCGAAGAGUCGAGUUGUUUGGGAAUGCAGCUCAAAAUGGGUGGUAAAUUCCAUCUAAAGCUAAAUAUUGGCGAAAGACCGAUAGCGAACAAGUACCGUGAGGGAAAGAUGAAAAGAACUUUGGAAAGAGAGUUAAACAGUACGUGAAAUUGUUGAAAGGGAAACGCUUGAAGUCAGUCACAUUGGCCAGGGAUCAACCUUGCUUUUCUGCUGGGUGCAUUUUCUGGUUAAUGGGUCAGCAUCAAUUUUGACCAUUGGACAAAGUUUGGAGGAAUGUGGCACCCUUUUUGGGUGUGUUAUAGCCUCUGAUCAUAUACAACGGUUAGGAUUGAGGAACUCAGCACGCCGAAAGGUCAGAGCUUUUGCUCAUGUUCGUGCUUAGGAUGCUGGCAUAAUGGCUUUAAUCGACCCGUCUUGAAACACGGACC